rnacentral:rRNA from 1 species
UGGGGAAUAUUGCACAAUGGGCGAAAGCCUGAUGCAGCGACGCCGCGUGGGGGAUGAAGGCCUUCGGGUUGUAAACUCCUUUCGCUAGGGACGAAGAUGUAUUUUGACGGUACCUGGAGAAGAAGCACCGGCUAACUACGUGCCAGCAGCCGCGGUAAUACGUAGGGUGCGAGCGUUGUCCGGAAUUACUGGGCGUAAAGAGCUCGUAGGUGGUUUGUCGCGUCGUCUGUGAAAUCCCGGGGCUUAACUUCGGGCGUGCAGGCGAUACGGGCAUAACUUGAGUGCUGUAGGGGAGACUGGAAUUCCUGGUGUAGCGGUGAAAUGCGCAGAUAUCAGGAGGAACACCAAUGGCGAAGGCAGGUCUCUGGGCAGUAACUGACGCUGAGGAGCGAAAGCAUGGGUAGCGAACAGGAUUAGAUACCCUGGUAGUCCAUGCCGUAAACGGUGGGCGCUAGGUGUAGGGGACUUCCACGUCUUCUGUGCCGCAGCUAACGCAUUAAGCGCCCCGCCUGGGGAGUACGGCCGCAAGGCUAAAACUCAAAGGAAUUGACGGGGGCCCGCACAAGCGGCGGAGCAUGUGGAUUAAUUCGAUGC